rnacentral:rRNA from 1 species
GACGAACGCUGGCGGCGUGCUUAACACAUGCAAGUCGAGCGGUAAGGCCCUUUCGGGGUACGACGAGCGGCGAACGGGUGAGUAACACGUGGGUGACCUGCCCUCAGCUCUGGGAUAAGCCUGGGAAACGUGGGUCUAAUACCGGAUAUGACUCCAUGACGCAUGUUGUGGGGUGGAAAGCCUUGUGCGGCUGAGGAUGGGCCCGCGGCCUAUCAGCUUGUUGGUGGGGUGAGGCCUACCAAGGCGACGACGGGUAGCCGGCCUGAGAGGGCGACCGGCCACACUGGGACUGAGACACGGCCCAGACUCCUACGGGAGGCAGCAGUGGGGAAUCUUGCGCAAUGGGCGAAAAGCCUGACGCAGCGACGCCGCGUGAGGGAUGAC